rnacentral:rRNA from 1 species
GACGAACGCUGGCGGCGUGCUUAACACAUGCAAGUCGAACGGUGAUGCUCCAGCUUGCUGGAGUGGAUCAGUGGCGAACGGGUGAGUAACACGUGAGCAACCUGCCCCAGACUCUGGAAUAAGCGCUGGAAACGGCGUCUAAUACUGGAUACGAAACUGGCCCGCAUGGGCAUGGUUUGGAAAGUUUUUCGGUUUGGGAUGGGCUCGCGGCCUAUCAGCUUGUUGGUGAGGUAAUGGCUCACCAAGGCGACGACGGGUAGCCGGCCUGAGAGGGCGACCGGCCACACUGGGACUGAGACACGGCCCAGACUCCUACGGGAGGCAGCAGUGGGGAAUAGUGCACAAUGGGCGAAAGCCUGAUGCAGCGAAGCCGCGUGGGGGAUGACGGCCUUGGGGUUGUAAACCUCUUUCAGCAGGGAAGAAGCGAAAGUGACGGUACCUGCAGAAGAAGCACCGGCUAACUACGUG